AAAACAAAACCAAAAGCAUUGUAUCAUGAUAUGUGACUAAUCUGAAUUUAAAACACUGUAACAUAAACUAGAUGAAAAGUAUUACACAAAAUUUUUCUUUGUAUUAUGUUGAAUAUAAAUGCCAUGUGAUACAUUUAUAUUUAAUAAUUAAAAGCAUAUUACAACACUUACGCCUAAUCUUAAAGUAAUUACACAUAUAAAGUAUCUCCCCAUUCAGAAGAUCUUAUAUUUCUUUCAGAAACCACGUGGCACAAAUAGUUAAUUUACCUUUUUUUUCUGUCUCUGUCUUCUACGUCCUAGGCUAUUUCAGUUUUCUCACAAGUAGCCAUUAUUUUCAAUGAACUACCUUUUAGGAGAAGUUUUGCUUUAAGACCAAUAAAAACAUAAGUUUACAUAAGCUGAGAGCACGUUAUGUAUAGCGCACAUCUGAGGGAAUAAAGAAGGGCCUUCACAAGAAGAGGCUUGUUGCUAUCUCAUAUGUAAUCCAAUUUCAAGGAAGUAUAA
rnacentral:lncRNA from 1 species